rnacentral:tRNA from 1 species
GCGGGAGUAACUCAGUGGUAGAGUGUCACCUUCCCAAGGUGAAGGUCGUGGGUUCGAAUCCCAUUUCCCGCU